rnacentral:rRNA from 1 species
UUGAUGUUCUAACGUGGACCCGUGAUCCGGGUUGCGGACAGUGUCUGGUGGGUAGUUUGACUGGGGCGGUCUCCUCCUAAAGAGUAACGGAGGAGCACGAAGGUUGGCUAAUCCUGGUCGGACAUCAGGAGGUUAGUGCAAUGGCAUAAGCCAGCUUGACUGCGAGCGUGACGGCGCGAGCAGGUGCGAAAGCAGGUCAUAGUGAUCCGGUGGUUCUGAAUGGAAGGGCCAUCGCUCAACGGAUAAAAGGUACUCCGGGGAUAACAGGCUGAUACCGCCCAAGAGUUCAUAUCGACGGCGGUGUUUGGCACCUCGAUGUCGGCUCAUCACAUCCUGGGGCUGAAGUAGGUCCCAAGGGUAUGGCUGUUCGCCAUUUAAAGUGGUACGCGAGCUGGGUUUAGAACGUCGUGAGACAGUUCGGUCCCUAUCUGCCGUGGGCGCUGGAGAACUGAGGGGGGCUGCUCCUAGUACGAGAGGACCGGAGUGGACGCAUCACUGGUGUUCGGGUUGUCAUGCCAAUGGCACUGCCCGGUAGCUAAAUGCGGAAGAGAUAAGUGCUGAAAGCAUCUAAGCACGAAACUUGCCCCGAGAUGAGUUCUCCCUGAGACUUUAGGUCUCCUGAAGGAACGUUGAAGACGACGACGUUGAUAGGCCGGGUGUGUAAGCGCAGCGAUGCGUUGAGCUAACCGGUACUAAUGAACCGUGAGGCUUAACCUUACAACGCCGAAG